AUUGAACGCUGGCGGCAUGCCUUACACAUGCAAGUCGAACGGCAGCGGGCCCUUCGGGGUGCCGGCGAGUGGCGAACGGGUGAGUAAUGCAUCGGAACGUACCCGGGAGAGGGGGAUAACCGGCCGAAAGGCUGGCUAAUACCGCAUGAACUCGGAAGAGCAAAGCGGGGGACCUUCGGGCCUCGCGCUCUCGGAGCGGCCGAUGUCCGAUUAGGCUAGUUGGUGGGGUAAAGGCCCACCAAGGCGACGAUCGGUAGCGGGUCUGAGAGGACGAUCCGCCACACUGGAACUGAGACACGGCCCAGACUCCUACGGGAGGCAGCAGUGGGGAAUCUUGGACAAUGGGCGCAAGCCUAAUCCAGCAAUGCCGCGUGGGUGAAGAAGGCCUUCGGGUUGUAAAGCCCUUUCGGCGGGGAAGAAAUCGGUCAGGCGAAUAGUCUGGCCGGAUGACGGUACCCGCAGAAGAAGCACCGGCUAACUACGUG
rnacentral:rRNA from 1 species